GACGAACGCUGGCGGCGUGCUUAACACGUGCAAGUCGGACGGGAAUGACCUGCUUGCUUGUGGUGCUCGAGGCGCAAACGGGUGUGUAACACGUGAAUAACCUCUCCUUGACUGUGGGAUAACUUCAGGAAACUGAGGAUAAUAGCAUAUAGGAGCUGCUCCUCCAUGUGUAGUGUUGGAAAGUUUAGGCGGUGGGGGAUGGACUGGCGGCUUAUGAGAUUGUUGGUGGGGUAGUGGCUUACCAAGGCAUGGGCGGGUAGCCGGCCUCAGAGGGGGACCGGGCACAGUGGGACUGAGAUACGGGACACAGUACUAAGGGAGGUAGGACUGGGGAAGAUAGCCCGAUGGGGGGAAGCCGGAUGCAGCAACGCCGCGUGCGGGAUGACGAACUUCGGGUUUUAAACCGCUUUCGCAUGUACCGAAGCGUGAGUGACGGUAAUGGAUAAAGAAGCACCGGCUAACUACGUG
rnacentral:rRNA from 1 species